AUGAAGACCACGUCCCAGCCUGCGCUCUGCCGGCGCGGACAAAGUGUGAAUCAAAGUUCCUGCAAACAACUCCUUCUUGUUGUUUUUAAGUAUCUCCGUUUUAAUUUUACGUUUAAAAAAGUCCGACUCUAUCCCUUUAGCCGAAGCGAGUGCAGCGCGAGGCCCUUUCAGAAAUCGCAAGGAACUAACUCUCAGCCAGGAAUUCUCCCAAGCGUGUUUCCAAGCAACUUGUUCUCCUCUUCCACAUCUGAACUCGGACUUUCCACACUUCUCCCGGGAGCCCGAGGCUUAGCUAGUUUUUUUGUUUUGUUUUUAGGAAUCCAGCAGCACCUCCGCGGUCCUCCCCUCCUAGAUCCUGGCUCUCACUAUGUGAUGGGAGGCGACCCAGAGGACAGUCCUAGGAAGGCGAAGGAGUCACCCGCACUAUCCUCAGCCCAGACGGGACUGGAAACUCUGCUCCCAAGAAAACGAGGAGGCAAGGAUUUUGGAGGCAAUCAUCAAGCACUGUUCCACCGCUCUCCAUUUACUUCACAAGCUCUAAAUGUAAAAAACUACAUUGAAAUCAAUGGCCAAAGGAAAACUAUUUAAAAAAAUCCUAAUAUGGACAGUUGAUCAGAUUAGGCAGUGUUGGUGAACCUUUUUGAAAUCACAUGCCUAAACUGCAACAUCAAGCUGCCUGUGAGCUCUCUGCAUUACCUCAGACAGUGGAAAAAAAUUGUCAGAACAGAAAAUUUUGAAUUGCUUCUGAACAGGCUCCCCAAAGAAAUAAGAGAGAAGUCAAUUGAUUUGGAAUGUAAACGCAUGAAAUUGGCCAAUCUGGAAGAAGAGAAAUAAAAAGCAAUAAUAUUAAAGAAAGGAUUAUUUC
rnacentral:lncRNA from 1 species